AAGUCGUAACAAGGUUUCCGUAGGUGAACACGUAUCCAACGUUAAACUCCCCCUGUGAACUUUUAGCACUCUUGCAGCCCGUCUUCCUCCAGCAAUCCCUAGUAAAUCAUGGCGAACAGUUUGAUUUAGGGACUUCUGAGUCACGAGAAAUUCCAGUUGCAAUUGUAGCGGUAGUGCAAGCAAUCUCAGCUUCUCCUGGGUCCUUUGGUGAAUUGAAAAGUGUCAUCAGAGAUCGCCGACGAGAAGGCCCUAGAUGCUCGGGUCCCCAUGCCCCCUUACAACCCCAUGUCUUGCAGCCGGGUCGCGAUAAUACGCUUGACCUAAAAAUAAAAACCGAACAACUGUUAACAAUGGAUAUCUUGGUUCUC
rnacentral:misc_RNA from 1 species